UUGUUUUGCUCUGGUCUUGCAAGUUAGAUCCCCUCUACUUACAUCUCCUGAUCUUUCGCCAUCCAUCCAUUCAUAUUUAAAAGUGAGACCCUAGAAGGCAAACUGGAACUUCCGUGUGCCUUAGGGACCUUGCCAAGUGGUGAAACCCACUGGCCUCAUGGGUUCCAGAUCACCAGAGAGUAACCACCUGGCUGGAAGAGAGACUACAAGGGCCUCUUAAUCAAUCCAGUUGUCUUCAGCCCCGACUUACACACCUGAUGCCAGGCUUUCCUAUUUAACAACACUAGACUGCAAAAUGAAAGUGGCAUAUUCUUGGAAACCAGAUGAACAUAUAUAAACUGCAACAUUUUGGAGAAUGCUUAAAUUUAUUUGCAAACCGUCAAGGACAUCACGAACAUUCUGAAAACUACAAGUUGGUCAGAAUUUAUUGGAGCCUAUGCUGAGGGUGAUGAGGGGCCCACAGUGGAACUUCUCCAUGGAUCAGCGACAGCGACAAUGUGGGCCUUCAACUUGUAGGCUUCCUCUUGGAUGCCCAGAGCUCCAAGAGUGCUGUUCUAUGGAGCCCAGGAAGCUGCCACACCCCAAGGCUCUACCCAUUUCCUCCUCAACUUCAGAACCUGCAUGUCUCUGGAAGUCAUUAAAGCUCUUCAGACCAGCCAAAGAACCUAGAAGGAAAGAAGAGGAAACUUUUCUGUCCCUAUUUUGAUGACCCAGAUGGGAGCUUCACAGGCUAGACUCCGCUCACUCCAGAGCCAUGGCAGCUGAGAGAUGUUGGGAUCUCUGACAAAAAGCCAACAGAAGAAGAUCCUACUAAAUGCAGAGAUAAAUUGGAAAGAUGAAUGGCCAUUCACAACCCCCUUCACAGAAAGAACAGAUGACCGGGAUCCCUGGGUGGCGCAGCGGUUUGGCGCCUGCCUUUGGCCCAGGUGCGCGAUCCUGGAGACCUGGGAUCGAACCCCACAUCGGGCUCCCAGUGUAUGGAGCCUGCUUCUCCCUCUGUCUGUGUCUCUGCCCCUCUCUCUCUCUCACUGUGUGCUUAUCAUAAAUAAAAUAAAAUAAAAAGUUAAAAAAAAAAAGAACAGAUGACCAAAAUUGUUCUUAGGCCCUCCUAUAAAUUAUCAGCUGAAGAUCUGUUCGGGGGCUGAUAGAAGCUAAGUUUGAGCUGUACACUCACAAAGAAAGCUUUUGUUAAAACACUUUAAACAAACUUUACAAAGACACAAAUCUUUUGAUCCAUAUCUUAGAUAGAGAUCUCUGGGCUCUAAGUAGCAAGUGUAUUUGGAAAGGCGGGUUAUUCCUUGAUAGGCUGUAAUCCAGUUAUUUGGUGAAUUGGACACAACUGUCUUUGCCUUAGAAAUCUCCAUGAAACCAGAAAUGUGGUUCUAGAAGCCACUCAAAUCUCACCUAUGCUAGCCAAUCCCAAAACCUCCACUAUUGAUCUCAAAAUGCUUGUAGAUCUUGAAAAAGAUCAGGACAUUGGAAACAGAAUUGUCUUGCCCUUAAGGAAAGAAAAAUAAAUAAAUAGUAAUUAUUCUAGACUUCUGACAAUAGUCCAAUAUAGUCCUCAAACUUCAUCUUGGAGAAAAUUUGAAUUGCCUUUGUUAUGUAGAUUAUCUUUGUCUUCUCUAGGCCCUAAAA